GAUUGAGAGGAAUUAUUUCUUCUUCCUUCUUCUUCGGUUGUCUAUCGAAAUCCGAUGACGACGUCCACUCCUCUAACGGUGAGAUCGUUGAUGACUAUACAGUCCUAUCCUGGACCCACAAGCUCUAUUGCAGGCACUGCUCCUUGAAGAUACCCUGGCCGUUAGUCUCGGCCUGAAACGUCGACUGCGCCUCUUCCUAUAGAUGCUGCUUGGCCUGCUGCGUUCACCAGCAACUUUGAUUACAAGAAAACACAUGUACACUGAGCACUGUUGCAGGAAAGCAGCAUCCUUCAUCGGAGACCCUCACCACCCAGAUCGUGCUCUCUUCUCAUUGCUGCCAUCAGGAAGAAGGGGCAGGAGCUUCAGACCGCACACCACCAGGAUCGGGAACAGUUAACCAUCAGGCUCUUGAAACAAAGGGGAUAACUUUACUCAACUUCACUUGCCCCAUCACUGAACUGUUCCCACAAAUUAUGGAUUUACUUUCCAGGACUCUUCAUAUCAUGUUCUCAAUAUUUAUUGUUUAUUUAUUUAUUUAUUAUUAUUUCUUAGUUUUUCAUUUGUAUGUGCACAGUUUGUUGACUUUUGCACGUUGGUUGUCUGCCUUUUUGGGUGCAAUCUUUCAUUGUUUCUGUUAUAGUUACUAGAUUAAUUGAGUAUGCCCACAAGAAAAUGAAUCUUAGGGUUGUAUAUAGUGACAAAUAUGUACUCUGAUAAUAAAUUUACUUUUGAACUUUUUUUGAGAUGAGCUCAGCCUUCUUAA